GAUGAACGCUGGCGGCGUGCCUAAUACAUGCAAGUAGAACGCUGAAGGAGUAGCUUUCUCUUCUGGAUGAGUUGCGAACGGGUGAGUAACGCGUAGGUAACCUGCCUUGUAGCGGGGGAUAACUAUUGGAAACUAUAGCUAAUACCGCAUGACAACAGUUAUUGCAUGAUAACUGUUUAAAAGGGGCAACUGCUCCACUACCACAUGCACCUGCGUUGUAUUAGCUAGUUGGUGAGGUAUCGGCUCACCAAGGCGGCGAGACAUAGCGGACCGGCGACGGUGAUCGGCCACACUGGGACUGAGACAGGGCCCAGAGUCCUACGGGAAGGAGCAGGAGGGAAACGUGAGCAAGGGACGGAAAUAGGAGCGAACAACGCCGAGGGAGGGAAGAAGGUUUUCGGAUCGUAAAGCACUGUUGUAAGAGAAGAACGAGUGUGAGAGUGGAAAGUUCAGACAGUGACGGUAUCUGACAAAAAAGGGACGGCUAACUACGUG
rnacentral:rRNA from 1 species